AACAGGAUUAGAUACCCUGGUAGUCCACGCCGUAAACGAUGAGUGCUAAGUGUUGGAGGGUUUCCGCCCUUCAGUGCUGCAGCAAACGCGUUAAGCACUCCGCCUGGGGAGUACGACCGCAAGGUUGAAACUCAAAGGAAUUGACGGGGGCCCGCACAAGCGGUGGAGCAUGUGGUUUAAUUCGAAGCAACGCGAAGAACCUUACCAGGUCUUGACAUCCUUUGACCACUCUAGAGAUAGAGCUUCCCCUUCGGGGGCAAAGUGACAGGUGGUGCAUGGUUGUCGUCAGCUCGUGUCGUGAGAUGUUGGGUUAAGUCCCGCAACGAGCGCAACCCUUAUUGUUAGUUGCCAUCAUUUAGUUGGGCACUCUAGCGAGACUGCCGGUGACAAACCGGAGGAAGGUGGGGAUGACGUCAAAUCAUCAUGCCCCUUAUGACCUGGGCUACACACGUGCUACAAUGGGAAGUACAACGAGUUGCGAAGUCGCGAGGCUAAGCUAAUCUCUUAAAGCUUCUCUCAGUUCGGAUUGUAGGCUGCAACUCGCCUACAUGAAGCCGGAA
rnacentral:rRNA from 1 species